GCCAGAUCUUGGAAAUUUGGAGAGGACCUCAGACUCUGCUUGCCUCUUUCCAGUGAAGUAUGAAGAUGAAAGCAGAAAUGAAGGUAGAUUGUAAUCAUAGACUGUUAUUAAGAUGAACUUGGGAAUUCCAAAAUCAUGUGCUGCAUUGACAGCCGCAAUAUUGGCAUCGCCAUUAAUUCUUUUCAUCUGUUCCUCGCUGCCAAAACCUCCAAUUGUUGAG
rnacentral:misc_RNA from 1 species